GAGUUUGAUCAUGGCUCAGAUUGAACGCUGGCGGCAGGCCUAACACAUGCAAGUCGAGCGGAAACGAGUUAUCUGAACCUUCGGGGGACGAUAACGGCGUCGAGCGGCGGACGGGUGAGUAAUGCCUAGGAAAUUGCCCUGAUGUGGGGGAUAACCAUUGGAAACGAUGGCUAAUACCGCAUGAUGCCUACGGGCCAAAGAGGGGGACCUUCGGGCCUCUCGCGUCAGGAUAUGCCUAGGUGGGAUUAGCUAGUUGGUGAGGUAAGGGCUCACCAAGGCGACGAUCCCUAGCUGGUCUGAGAGGAUGAUCAGCCACACUGGAACUGAGACACGGUCCAGACUCCUACGGGAGGCAGCAGUGGGGAAUAUUGCACAAUGGGCGCAAGCCUGAUGCAGCCAUGCCGCGUGUGUGAAGAAGGCCUUCGGGUUGUAAAGCACUUUCAGUCGUGAGGAAGGUAGUGUAGUUAAUAGCUGCAUUAUUUGACGUUAGCGACAGAAGAAGCACCGGCUAACUCCGUGCCAGCAGCCGCGGUAAUACGGAGGGUGCGAGCGUUAAUCGGAAUUACUGGGCGUAAAGCGCAUGCAGGUGGUUUGUUAAGUCAGAUGUGAAAGCCCGGGGCUCAACCUCGGAAUUGCAUUUGAAACUGGCAGACUAGAGUACUGUAGAGGGGGGUAGAAUUUCAGGUGUAGCGGUGAAAUGCGUAGAGAUCUGAAGGAAUACCGGUGGCGAAGGCGGCCCCCUGGACAGAUACUGACACUCAGAUGCGAAAGCGUGGGGAGCAAACAGGAUUAGAUACCCUGGUAGUCCACGCCGUAAACGAUGUCUACUUGGAGGUUGUGGCCUUGAGCCGUGGCUUUCGGAGCUAACGCGUUAAGUAGACCGCCUGGGGAGUACGGUCGCAAGAUUAAAACUCAAAUGAAUUGACGGGGGCCCGCACAAGCGGUGGAGCAUGUGGUUUAAUUCGA
rnacentral:rRNA from 1 species